UACGUAGGGGGCAAGCGUUGUCCGGAAUCACUGGGCGUAAAGCGCGCGCAGGCGGUCAUCUACGUCUGGGGUGAAAGCCCGGAGCUCAACUCCGGGAUUGCCUUGGAUACGGGAUGACUUGAGGAUCGGAGAGGCAAGGGGAAUUCCACGUGUAGCGGUGAAAUGCGUAGAGAUGUGGAGGAACACCAGUGGCGAAGGCGGUUACCUGGAGCUUUGCUGACGCUGAUGCGCGAAAGCGUGGGGAGCGAUCCGG
rnacentral:rRNA from 1 species